AAGCCAAUCCUCUCUUCUCCUCUCUCUUUUUCUUCAAGAAACCAACUCCUCUCAUCAUCUUCAAGCUUAUGACUCCAUAGCAAGUUUUUGGGUUUAAAACAAUGAUAUCAUGUUGCUCUUCAUCCACCCGGUUGUCCCUCUAUUUGGUCUUCCACUUGUGUUUUGGAAGGGGCUAAGAGCUUAAGGUAAUGACGAAAAGGCUGGGGAGCAAAGAAUUACUACAGAGGGAGAGACAGAUGCUUAGGACCUUCCCUAACUAGAACAAUUGUGUUUAUGGAUGAUAGGUUAUGUUUUUAUGAACGUAUGGACUCUGAGAGUCUUUUAUGGACGAAUGUUCGAAUAGAAUGUCCAUCAGGUGUUUCCUUUAUUAAAUUAAAAAUUUAGAGUGCACGUGUGUCAU